UACGAGGGGGGCGAGCGUUGUUCGGAAUUAUUGGGCGUAAAGGGUGCGUAGGCGGUUCCGCAAGUCCUGUGUGAAAUCUUCGGGCUCAACUCGAAGUCUGCACGGGAAACUGCGGGGCUUGAGUGUGGGAGAGGAGAGUGGAAUUCCUGGUGUAGCGGUGAAAUGCGCAGAUAUCAGGAAGAACACCCGUGGCGAAGGCGGCUCUCUGGGACAGUACUGACGCUGAGACGCGAAAGCGUGGGGAGCGAACAGG
rnacentral:rRNA from 1 species